rnacentral:lncRNA from 1 species
AAAUAUUGCUAUCAUUUAUGAAGGCAUAACUUGUAAGUUCAUAUUACUAUCUCCACCGUGCUGGUUACCUCCAUGCAUGUGCAAUCUUACUAUUAGUAAGUGGACAUUCCUUUUGAAGCCUCCACAUGACGCUACCUAUGAUCCUAGGUGGACACUCUAAAAAGAGAGAGAAAUUAUAAAUUUUUUUCAAAAAAGCAAAAACUCUUGCCAUCAACCAAGUAGACUCAAAUCAUCGUAGCUACUGGAUCUAUUAUUUUUUUCUAAAAAUUACCCACUUCCAUUAUGAAAAUAGGUUAAAGUAACCCCUAAAUCUAUAUUUGGAUCACCUACCUCUCCCAUUAAAUACAAUAAACUAAAGUAAUCCCC